rnacentral:rRNA from 1 species
AGCGAACGCUGGCGGCAGGCCUAACACAUGCAAGUCGAACGAACUCUUCGGAGUUAGUGGCGGACGGGUGAGUAACACGUGGGAACGUGCCUUUUGGUUCGGAAUAACUCAGGGAAACUUGUGCUAAUACCGAAUGUGCCCUUCGGGGGAAAGAUUUAUCGCCAUUAGAGCGGCCCGCGUCUGAUUAGCUAGUUGGUGAGGUAACGGCUCACCAAGGCGACGAUCAGUAGCUGGUCUGAGAGGAUGACCAGCCACACUGGGACUGAGACACGGCCCAGACUCCUACGGGAGGCAGCAGUGGGGAAUCUUGCGCAAGGGGCGAAAGCCUGACGCAGCCAUGCCGCGUGAAUGAUGAAGGUCUUAGGAUUGUAAAAUUCUUUCAACGGGGACGAUAAUGACGGUACCCGGAGAAGAAGCCCCGGCUAACUUCGUG